CGUGCAGGCGGCUCGAUAAGUUGGAUGUGAAAGCUCCCGGCUCAACUGGGAGAGGUCGUUCAAGACUGUCGGGCUUGAGGAUGGUAGGGGAAGGUGGAAUUCCGGGUGUAGUGGUGAAAUGCGUAGAUAUCCGGAGGAACACCAGUGGCGAAGGCGGCCUUCUGGACCACACCUGACGCUCAGACGCGAAAGCUAGGGUAGCAAACGGGAUUAGAGACCCCGGUAGUCCUAGCCGUAAACGAUGUGAACUUGGCGCCGGGCGGGUAAAACCGCACGGUGCCGAAGCUAACGCGAUAAGUUCACCACCUGGGGACUACGGCCGCAAGGUUAAA
rnacentral:rRNA from 1 species